CCUGGGCUGGUCUAUGCAGCACUGGGUCAGAAGUUCCCUGUGGAGCAGGCCAGCUUGACUGACAAAACAAAUAUGCUAAAAAUAACAAGCUGUGGCCCUCUGGAGAGAGGAGAGGAGAGGAAAGAAAGGAGACAGACUCAGAGUGACAUCAUAGAAUGUUAUUCUAGGCAUUGACUAGCGUGUCUAACUGGAUUAUUUCAUUGCUGCAGCAGCUACUUUAAAACGUUUGAAGUUGUUUUGUGCGUACUCAGGAAGUGUGUGUGCAUCUGGAAGUAAGACGACAACUCCUGGGAGUCAGUCCUCGCCUUCCGCUGUACAGUACGGGGAGGACGCUCAGCUCACCAGGCGUGACCAUCGUCCUUAGCUCCUGGGCCUGCUUCCAAGCACCCAUGGCUCAUUUUCUAAUUGUCUUCCAGUCUCUGUAAGUUGAAGUGUAAUGCGUGAUGUAGGGGACUCCUGUCUGUUGAGAUUAAAAUAGUUUGUCCUAUGAAAUCCGAGUGGUUAUUUCUAGAUGCCUGUAAACUCCUCUCAGGGCUCAUAGAAGCAUGGGUUUUGAAUUUUCUUUUCAAUGCAUUAUAAUUUCUUGCUGGUUCUCAUAUUAAUUAAUGGGCUGAUAAGAUAUUUCGCACACAUUUAUUUU
rnacentral:lncRNA from 1 species